rnacentral:rRNA from 1 species
GUGCUAAUCUGCGAUAAGCGUCGGUGAGGUGAUAUGAACCGUUAUAACCGGCGAUUUCCGAAUGGGGAAACCCAGUGUGUUUCGACACACUAUCAUUAACUGAAUCCAUAGGUUAAUGAGGCGAACCGGGGGAACUGAAACAUCUAAGUACCCCGAGGAAAAGAAAUCAACCGAGAUUCCCCCAGUAGCGGCGAGCGAACGGGGAGGAGCCCAGAGCCUGAAUCAGUGUGUGUGUUAGUGGAAGCGUCUGGAAAGGCGCGCGAUACAGGGUGACAGCCCCGUACACAAAAAUGCACAUGCUGUGAGCUCGAUGAGUAGGGCGGGACACGUGGUAUCCUGUCUGAAUAUGGGGGGACCAUCCUCCAAGGCUAAAUACUCCUGACUGACCGAUAGUGAACCAGUACCGUGAGGGAAAGGCGAAAAGAACCCCGGCGAGGGGAGUGAAAAAGAACCUGAAACCGUGUACGUACAAGCAGUGGGAGCCUCUUAAUGGGGUGACUGCGUACCUUUUGUAUAAUGGGUCAGCGACUUAUAUUCUGUAGCAAGGUUAACCGAAUAGGGGAGCCGAAGGGAAACCGAGUCUUAACUGGGCGUUAAGUUGCAGGGUAUAGACCCGAAACCCGGUGAUCUAGCCAUGGGCAGGUUGAAGGUUGGGUAACACUAACUGGAGGACCGAACCGACUAAUGUUGAAAAAUUAGCGGAUGACUUGUGGCUGGGGGUGAAAGGCCAAUCAAACCGGGAGAUAGCUGGUUCUCCCCGAAAGCUAUUUAGGUAGCGCCUCGUGAAUUCAUCUCCGGGGGUAGAGCACUGUUUCGGCAAGGGGGUCAUCCCGACUUACCAACCCGAUGCAAACUGCGAAUACCGGAGAAUGUUAUCACGGGAGACACACGGCGGGUGCUAACGUCCGUCGUGAAGAGGGAAACAACCCAGACCGCCAGCUAAGGUCCCAAAGUCAUGGUUAAGUGGGAAACGAUGUGGGAAGGCCCAGACAGCCAGGAUGUUGGCUUAGAAGCAGCCAUCAUUUAAAGAAAGCGUAAUAGCUCACUGGUCGAGUCGGCCUGCGCGGAAGAUGUAACGGGGCUAAACCAUGCACCGAAGCUGCGGCAGCGACACUAUGUGUUGUUGGGUAGGGGAGCGUUCUGUAAGCCUGUGAAGGUGGCCUGUGAGGGUUGCUGGAGGUAUCAGAAGUGCGAAUGCUGACAUAAGUAACGAUAAAGCGGGUGAAAAGCCCGCUCGCCGGAAGACCAAGGGUUCCUGUCCAACGUUAAUCGGGGCAGGGUGAGUCGACCCCUAAGGCGAGGCCGAAAGGCGUAGUCGAUGGGAAACAGGUUAAUAUUCCUGUACUUGGUGUUACUGCGAAGGGGGGACGGAGAAGGCUAUGUUGGCCGGGCGACGGUUGUCCCGGUUUAAGCGUGUAGGCUGGUUUUCCAGGCAAAUCCGGAAAACCAAGGCUGAGGCGUGAUGACGAGGCACUACGGUGCUGAAGUGACAAAUGCCCUGCUUCCAGGAAAAGCCUCUAAGCAUCAGGUAACAUCAAAUCGUACCCCAAACCGACACAGGUGGUCAGGUAGAGAAUACCAAGGCGCUUGAGAGAACUCGGGUGAAGGAACUAGGCAAAAUGGUGCCGUAACUUCGGGAGAAGGCACGCUGAUAUGUAGGUGAAGCGACUUGCUCGUGGAGCUGAAAUCAGUCGAAGAUACCAGCUGGCUGCAACUGUUUAUUAAAAACACAGCACUGUGCAAACACGAAAGUGGACGUAUACGGUGUGACGCCUGCCCGGUGCCGGAAGGUUAAUUGAUGGGGUUAGCGGUAACGCGAAGCUCUUGAUCGAAGCCCCGGUAAACGGCGGCCGUAACUAUAACGGUCCUAAGGUAGCGAAAUUCCUUGUCGGGUAAGUUCCGACCUGCACGAAUGGCGUAAUGAUGGCCAGGCUGUCUCCACCCGAGACUCAGUGAAAUUGAACUCGCUGUGAAGAUGCAGUGUACCCGCGGCAAGACGGAAAGACCCCGUGAACCUUUACUAUAGCUUGACACUGAACAUUGAGCCUUGAUGUGUAGGAUAGGUGGGAGGCUUUGAAGUGUGGACGCCAGUCUGCAUGGAGCCGACCUUGAAAUACCACCCUUUAAUGUUUGAUGUUCUAACGUUGGCCCCUAAUCGGGGUUGCGGACAGUGUCUGGUGGGUAGUUUGACUGGGGCGGUCUCCUCCUAAAGAGUAACGGAGGAGCACGAAGGUUGGCUAAUCCUGGUCGGACAUCAGGAGGUUAGUGCAAUGGCAUAAGCCAGCUUGACUGCGAGCGUGACGGCGCGAGCAGGUGCGAAAGCAGGUCAUAGUGAUCCGGUGGUUCUGAAUGGAAGGGCCAUCGCUCAACGGAUAAAAGGUACUCCGGGGAUAACAGGCUGAUACCGCCCAAGAGUUCAUAUCGACGGCGGUGUUUGGCACCUCGAUGUCGGCUCAUCACAUCCUGGGGCUGAAGUAGGUCCCAAGGGUAUGGCUGUUCGCCAUUUAAAGUGGUACGCGAGCUGGGUUUAGAACGUCGUGAGACAGUUCGGUCCCUAUCUGCCGUGGGCGCUGGAGAACUGAGGGGGGCUGCUCCUAGUACGAGAGGACCGGAGUGGACGCAUCACUGGUGUUCGGGUUGUCAUGCCAAUGGCACUGCCCGGUAGCUAAAUGCGGAAGAGAUAAGUGCUGAAAGCAUCUAAGCACGAAACUUGCCCCGAGAUGAGUUCUCCCUGAGACUUAGAGUCUCCUGAAGGAACGUUGAAGACGACGACGUUGAUAGGCCGGGUGUGUAAGCGCAGCGAUGCGUUGAGCUAACCGGUACUAAUGAACCGUGAGGCUUAACCUU